rnacentral:rRNA from 1 species
UACAGAGGGGGCGAGCGUUAUUCGGAAUUAUUGGGCGUAAAGGGCGCGUAGGCGGCUUUUCAAGUGACGGGUGAAAUCCCUCGGCUUAACCGAGGAACUGCCUGUCAGACUGGAAGGCUUGAGACCGGGAGAGGUGAGUGGAAUUCCCAGUGUAGCGGUGAAAUGCGUAGAUAUUGGGAGGAACACCAGUGGCGAAGGCGGGUUGCUGGCCCGAAACUGACGCUGAGGCACGAAAGCGUGGGUAGCGAACAGG